CAGUAGCCACGGGAAUACGUAGGUGGCAAGCGUUGUCCGGAAUUAUUGGGCGUAAAGGGCUCGCAGGCGGUUUCUUAAGUCUGAUGUGAAAGCCCCCGGCUCAACCGGGGAGGGUCAUUGGAAACUGGGAAACUUGAGUGCAGAAGAGGAGAGUGGAAUUCCACGUGUAGCGGUGAAAUGCGUAGAGAUGUGGAGGAACACCAGUGGCGAAGGCGACUCUCUGGUCUGUAACUGACGCUGAGGAGCGAAAGCGUGGGGAGCGAACAGGAUUAGAUACCCGCGUAGUCCCUGUCUCUUAUAU
rnacentral:rRNA from 1 species